AGGACUAACGCUGGCGGCGUGCCUAACACAUGCAAGUCGAACGAGGGGUAGCAAUACCCCUAGUGGCAGACGGGUGAGUAACACGUAGUCAACCUACCUCUUAAUGGGGGAUAACUAGCCGAAAGGUUAGCUAAUACCGCAUACGAUCGUCGAGUGGCAUCACACGACGAUGAAAGGAGCAAUCCGUUGAGAGAGGGGACUGCGUCCCAUUAGUUAGUUGGUGGGGUAAUGGCCUACCAAGACUCCGAUGGGUAGCUGGCUUGAGAGAGCGACCAGCCACACUGGAACUGAGACACGGUCCAGACUCCUACGGGAGGCAGCAGUGAGGAAUUUUCCGCAAUGGGGGAAACCCUGACGGAGCGACGCCGCGUGUGGGAAGAAGGCCUUCGGGUCGUAACCACUGUCGAGGGGGACGAUAUUGACGGUACCCCUGGAGGAGCCCGGCUAACUACGUGCCAGCAGCCGC
rnacentral:rRNA from 1 species